rnacentral:tRNA from 1 species
GCCACCUUAGCUCAGGGAGUAGAGCGGCACGGCGACAGCUGUGUGACGGGCGAUAUAAGGCGCCGGUGCAAGUCCGGCAGGUGGCG